GGAAGGGUGGCCGAGUGGUUAAAGGCAGCAGACUGUAAAUCUGCCCGCGUCAGCGUACGAAGGUUCGAAUCCUUCCCCUUCCACCA
rnacentral:tRNA from 1 species